rnacentral:rRNA from 1 species
GACGUAGGGCGCGAGCGUUGUCCGGAUUUAUUGGGCGUAAAGAGCUCGUAGGUGGUUUGUCGCGUUGUUCGUGAAAACUCACAACUCAAUUGUGGGCGUGCGGGCGAUACGGGCAGACUGGAGUACUGCAGGGGAGACUGGAAUUCCUGGUGUAGCGGUGGAAUGCGCAGAUAUCAGGAGGAACACCGGUGGCGAAGGCGGGUCUCUGGGCAGUAACUGACGCUGAGGAGCGAAAGCGUGGGGAGCGAACAGG